rnacentral:rRNA from 1 species
UAGGGAAUCUUCGGCAAUGGGGGGAACCCUGACCGAGCAACGCCGCGUGAGUGAAGAAGGUUUUCGGAUCGUAAAGCUCUGUUGUUAAGGAAGAACGAGUGUGAGAAUGGAAAGUUCAUGCUGUGACGGUACUUAACCAGAAAGGGACGGCUAACUACGUGCCAGCAGCCGCGGUAAUACGUAGGUCCCGAGCGUUGUCCGGAUUUAUUGGGCGUAAAGCGAGCGCAGGCGGUUAGAAAAGUCUGAAGGGAAAGGCAGUGGCUCAACCAUUGUAGGCUUUGGAAACUGUUUAACUUGAGUGCAGAAGGGGAGAGUGGAAUUCCAUGUGUAGCGGUGAAAUGCGUAGAUAUAUGGAGGAACACCGGUGGCGAAAGCGGCUCUCUGGUCUGUAACUGACGCUGAGGCUCGAAAGCGUGGGGAGCGAACAGG